rnacentral:rRNA from 1 species
GACGAACGCUGGCGGCAUGCCUAAUACAUGCAAGUCGAGCGAACAGAUGAAGUGCUUGCACUUCUGACGUUAGCGGCGAACGGGUGAGUAACACGUAAGGAAUCUACCUAUAAGCGGGGGAUAACAUUCGGAAACGGGUGCUAAUACCGCAUAAUAUCUUCUUCCGCAUGGAAGAAGAUUGAAAGACGGCUCUGCUGUCACUUAUAGAUGACCUUGCGGUGCAUUAGUUAGUUGGUGGGGUAACGGCCUACCAAGACGAUGAUGCAUAGCCGACCUGAGAGGGUGAUCGGCCACAUUGGGACUGAGACACGGCCCAAACUCCUACGGGAGGCAGCAGCAGGGAAUCUUCCGCAAUGGGCGAAAGCCUGACGGAGCAAUGCCGCGUGAGUGAAGAAGGCCUUCGGGUCGUAAAACUCUGUUAUAAGAGAAGAACAAAUUGUAGAGUAACUGCUACAGUCUUGACGGUAUCUUAUCAGAAAGCCACGGCUAACUACGUG